rnacentral:rRNA from 1 species
AGUGAACGCUGGCGGUAGGCCUAACACAUGCAAGUCGAACGGCAGCACAGUAAGAGCUUGCUCUUACGGGUGGCGAGUGGCGGACGGGUGAGGAAUACAUCGGAAUCUACUUUUUCGUGGGGGAUAACGUAGGGAAACUUACGCUAAUACCGCAUACGACCUACGGGUGAAAGCAGGGGAUCUUCGGACCUUGCGCGAUUGAAUGAGCCGAUGUCGGAUUAGCUAGUUGGCGGGGUAAAGGCCCACCAAGGCGACGAUCCGUAGCUGGUCUGAGAGGAUGAUGAGCAACACGGGAACUGAGAAACGGGCCGGAGCCGAACGGGAGCCACCAGUGGGGAGUGUUGGAAAAUGGGCGAAGGCUUGAUCAGGCAUUUCCGGGGGAGUGAAGAAGGCCUGCGGGUGGUAAAGCCCUUUUGUUGGGAAAAAAAAGCAGAAGGUUAAUACCCCGCUGUUCUGAGGGUACCAAAAGAAUAAGCACGGGCUAACUUCGU